CCACUACAUAAUUAUUCAUUGUCUUUACAAUUAACAAUCUAAAGCUACCACAGUUCUUCAAUCAAGGUAUAUAUCUACAUAUAUAGACACUUCAUAAUUUCGUCCCUUGUCUUCCAUAAACGUAGCACGAAAAUUUGAUACAUAGUAUUGUAAGACAGGUCGUAGAAGCAGUCUUCCUGCACAUAUUUAAAAUAAUAGCAAAGUCAGAAAAAUGAAGCAAAUAGGUCACCAGAGGCACUUAGUGCCAAAAUCAAUCCACAAAGACAAUAAGGUUGCUACGUGGUACUAAUGUACACAGUAUUGCUCAUAAGCAGAAAAAGACAAAUAGACAAUCACAAUAUCAUUUGCUACAAAUCCAAAUAGAAAAAGAACCUUCAGUGCGACUAUAUGAUUGCUCUGUUACAAGAAAAAAUUGGAAUCUUAAUCGGCCAUUUCAUGAAUUAAUUUCAGUAAGCAUAGUGGCAUAUUUUCUGUUACAAGACUUGUAGAUUAUUAUUAUAUGUUGACCUCAAGUCAGAAUUCAGUCACAUUCAACAAUCACAAGCAUCACACAAUCUUAAAUACCAUCACACAAUCUUAAAUAACAAUGUUUAUAUUUCUAGAUAGAAAGGUCAACAAUUAUGAAAAAGUUGAGGCUAUUAGUCAAUGUGGAAAAACUUUUUUUGAGACGACAAAUUUUCAUACAGUAUAUGCCCCAAAGAUGCUAGCUAUAAUCACAAACAUCAUAGAUUUAUUUGCCAAGAUUUCAACAUGUUGCAACAGACAUUGGAAAGACACAUUUAUUGAUAACUUAAGAAUUUUUAAGUGGUAAGGGCAAAACAUACCCAGGUCAGCGAGAUAAGUUCCUCCCCUUUAUAAUUGGGUCCUACAAGAAUAGGAUAGCUUAAAGCCUCUGUUGCGAGCUUUGAACUGUGAUCACUGGUUUGAUGUUAUGGCAGUGUCAGCUGAAGUAAGUGAUACUUUGUGUGUUGUUUUACUUGUGUAUUUUAUGGAGUACUCACAUUUUCGAGGUCUCUCUCAAGUUGCAGCAGAGAAGCCAAACCCCAUGAUUUUCCUAAGAGCUUGCGAGUUGUUGGAUUUGAAACCAGAGGAUGCUGUUCAUGUAGGAGAUGAUCGUAGGAAUGACAUAUGGGGUGCAAGAGAUGCAGGUUGUGAUGCUUGGCUCUGGGGAAGUGAUGUCCAUUCCUUCAAGGAGGUAAUUUGUAAAUUAACUUUUUUCCCCUCGCUAUGUAGCUUUGCGAUCUGCAUAUCUUCUCAUGUUUUCUGCUAUUAGCGGUUCAAUUGAUUAUUACAAAGUUUUAUUAUUACUUUUUGGCAGCUCCAAAUUUCUGCAUUGUUGUUUUGUUGCAUUAGUAUACUGUUUAUAAAAGUACACAUUGUUUUUGCAAAUCUUAGAAAGAAGGAACAUGCCGGAUAUGUCAACGUUAUGUCUUUCAACCUUGUAUGGGCCAACUUUAUCUAGCUUGGUUUCCAUGCAUAUGAUUUUUCACUAGGUGUGUUAUGGUUUAAAGCCUCACAAAUUUAAAAUAUAACAAUACCAAGUAAUAAAAUCAUUACAUUUUGUGAUGCAGGUUGCUCAAAGGAUUGGAGUCAAGGUAUGAAUCAAUGGUAAUUCAGUUUCAGCACCUAGAAGAAUGCUUCCAGUUGUAUAAUGGCUUUUCAUCCAUCCUGUACCUCCCCAUAAGCAGUUGUACAUAUUCUCUUCUUUUUGUGAUAUGUAGAGAGAUGAGAUGUGUAAGGAUGCAACUACUUUGAGAAUAGAAUAAAUGGCAUAAACAGGGCUUUAUUAAUGAUACAAUUAGGAUGUUUUUUUCUCUCCAAUAAAGUUACUGCCUUUGAAAUCCAUUCGAUUAUGCGGCCACAAUUUGCAGAUUAUAAAUCUUUUUAAGUUGAAAUGGUCUUUGCUAGAAAUUUGGUAAAUGGUCUUUUCAUAUCCAGUUAUAUUUUACUAUAUUUAUAUUUUCUUAUAUAUCUCCUGUCUAAUUUAUUAGAUGAAGUUAUAUAAAAAGAAAUGUUUAGCACCAAACAAGUACACUAUCCAACUUGGUAAAUACUAAUGUUGUUUUACUUGCGUCUUUUAUGGAGAACAUACCCAGGUCAGCUUAAAGCUACUUAUACAACUUACCAAUUUAUAGUAAAAGCAGUGGCAAUAUAAAUUGCAAGGGAAUUGUUUACAAGCAGAAUUCCUAUGACCAGAUGAUGAUGCAAGAACAUACCAGUGUGUCAGGAUCUUUUAACUUCUACAAAGCUUCUCUAACGGUUUGCUGGCAAAACUCACAGCUAUCCUUCCUGAGAUG
rnacentral:lncRNA from 1 species